GACGUAGGGCGCGAGCGUUGUCCGGAUUUAUUGGGCGUAAAGAGCUCGUAGGCGGCUUGUCGCGUCGUUCGUGAAAACCUGCAGCUCAACUGCAGGCUUGCGGGCGAUACGGGCAGGCUAGAGUUCGGUAGGGGAGACUGGAAUUCCUGGUGUAGCGGUGAAAUGCGCAGAUAUCAGGAAGAACACCAAUGGCGAAGGCAGCUCUCUGGGACGGUACUGACGCUGAGACGCGAAAGCGUGGGGAGCGAACAGG
rnacentral:rRNA from 1 species